rnacentral:rRNA from 1 species
UACGUAGGGGGCAAGCGUUGUCCGGAUUUAUUGGGCGUAAAGAGCGUGUAGGCGGCCAAGCAGGUCCGCUGUGGAAACUCGAGGCUCAACCUCGAGACGUCGGUGGAAACCGUUUGGCUAGAGUCCGGAAGAGGAGAGUGGAAUUCCCGGUGUAGCGGUGAAAUGCGCAGAUAUCGGGAAGAACACCCGUGGCGAAGGCGGCUCUCUGGGACGGUACUGACGCUGAGACGGCGAAAGCGUGGGAGCGAACAGG